GACAACAACAACAACAUAAGCAACAGCAGCAGCAACAACAACAACAACAACAACAAAAACGACGACGAAAAUAGCAAUGACUACGAUGAUGACGACGACAACGAUGAUAACAACGACAAUGACGAGAACAACGACAACAACGACAACAACAAAAACAACGACAACAGCGACAACAACGACAAUAAUGACAACAACAACAACAAGAGCAAC
rnacentral:lncRNA from 1 species